rfam:Camelus ferus unplaced genomic scaffold scaffold348, whole genome shotgun sequence.
GAGGGUAUAGCCCAAGUGGUAGAGAGCAUGCUUAGCAUGCGCAGGGUCCUGGGUUCAAUCCCCAGUACCUCCU